CUUGCCUCUUAGCAUCCUGGUGCGUGGGUUGUUCCCCACUGAGAAAGACCCAUCCUUGCAUUCAGAGUUGGACUUUGGCAUAGCAGAUACAGCCCCACACCUUCCCCAAAAGAGCCCCUGUGCACCACAAGGCUUUGUGUAGUCUUGCAGUCUUUGAAAAAUAAAUUGUGAAAUCUCUGCCUCAAUAUCUCUGCCUAUGAAAAAAGCCAGCCCCAUUUUACAGCAGGGAGCAGAUUAACUCGCCUCUGUGAUGUAGGUGGAUUUAUGUCUCAGAGUGUGUUUCAGCAAUCCUAAUGACAGAAAAUCCAUGCAGUAGUAUACGUAGACCUUCCUGCAAAAUUUAUGUGAUUUUAUUUUUCAAAUCAUUUCCAGUCUCCCCCAGUUAAACCAGCAUUUUUUAUUAUGAUACGCGUACUGCUUAAGAGAUGAUUUUUUUUUCCUAUUUGAUUCAUGUCAUUUCACUUCAGCUUUGAAUUUUUAAACAAGAGUAAUAAAUUGUGACAGAGCACAGCGUUCACCCAACAUCUGGAUGCUUUUGUACUUUUUGCAGCUAUCUCAGCCUCAUUAUGAUAAUUAAUACCAAUUUACUGUGUUUCAGGCCAACAUGUCUGCCCUUCUCUGGAAUGAAGAAUCUUUCCCAGCAAGAGUUAUAGAUAUGUUAAAGGGUUUUACAGCUGUUGGGGUGACUUUAGCUCACUUUGAUCUCCUGAAAGCUGCCGCGUUUUCCUGCAGGAAGGACAGUGAGAUCAUCUUGUGUUCAGUGUGCUAACCACUUUGACUGUUUCUGGUACAGUAAAAUCUGGACUAGGCCUCUUAAGCUCUUCGCUAAAACUUAA